GCGCCCCAGCCCCUGCGCUGCGGUGAGGUGGGUGCCCCUCUCAGGGCGCAGAGCUAGGGUGCAGGAAGUGUCAUCACGGCACUGGCUGUGCUGACGGAGGGGUCGCUGAGCAUGUAGCUUUGUGAGGAGCAUCCGCUGUUGGACUCAGAAACCCCCAAUGAGAAGGAGACGGGCCUGCAGCCGGGAGCCAGGCCCCACUCCCCUCGCCUUUGGGGAUGUGGCCUGGCCCGUCACACUCGCAGGCUCUGACCCCGGAGGCCAGGGAGCUCCCUCCACAGGUAAACAGACAGGCUGACUCUGUGCUCCCACAGAAGCCCUGGAGGUGCCCGGGGUGCCACUGGGUGUGCCAGGAAGACUGGGCAGGAGGCAGGGGCUUAUGGCCUGAAGCACAGCUGGGCUCCCAGCUCCCGGCUGUGACCUCCAAUCGCUAAGACGCCCUCGGAACAGGUCAGGUCAGGUGAGUGUGGGAACCAGGUUCUUGCAGAGGGAGUGGAGAGGCCAUGAGGAAGGGUCACGAGGCUGGCGCACGCCUUCCGGGCCCCAGCCCCGCCCCCACCUCUAAAGGUCAGAGGGCACCGGUCUCAGGAGCGGAGGGGGGGGCGCACAGGGAGCGGGGGGAGCUGAUGGUGGCCCAGGAGGUGAGUCCAGGUUCAGGAAACAGCGACAGACACAGGCAAGCAGCCACGAAGACCACAGGCAUCACACGCACACAUACACACACACACGCGCACACGCGCGCACACACAGA